rnacentral:rRNA from 1 species
AUUGAACGCUGGCGGCAGGCCUAACACAUGCAAGUCGAGCGAGCGGCGGACGGGUGAGUAAUGUAUGGGGACUGCCCGAUAGAGGGGGAUAACUACUGGAAACGGUGGCUAAUACCGCAUACUAUCGGAUAACCCAUAUGGGAUUAGCUAGUAGGUGGGGUAAAGGCUCACCUAGGCGACGAUCUCUAGCUGGUCUGAGAGGAUAAUCAGCCACACUGGGACUGGGAAACGGCCCAGACUCCUACGGGGGAAGCAGGGGGGAAGUUUGCAAAAUGGGCGCAAGCCUGAUGCAGCCAGGCCGGGUGUAUGAAGAAGGCCUUAGGGUUGUAAAGUACUUUAAGCGGGGAGGCGUUACCCGCAGAAGAAGCACCGGCUAACUCCGUGCCAGCAGCCGCGUAAUUC